GGCUUUAGUCUUCUGUUAUGAAUAUGAUCCUUUGGGCACAUAUGGUUGACUUACUUUUGCAGCCCAUAGGCCCAGCCUUUUGCUUACUGUGCUGGACCUGGAUUAACUUCGAGCAUUCAGCUCAUCAUAUGCUGAGCCGGGCUUCUGAUGGGCUUAUGGUUCACCGAUAUAAUUUUAUAAAGUUGGAUUGGACUCAAAGGUAUCAGGUUCGAGUCCAACAAGUAACAUUUAUUUUGUGGCAAUUAUCAUGAACUCUAAUUUACACAUUAGCAUUACUUCAAAAAACUUGUCAAUCUGAUCACAUUUACACAUGAACUAUACUCCAUUAAUACAACGUUGGAAAAUCGAUAUAAUACCAUUCCAAAUUUCUGUAUAGACAGAUACGAUAGACUUGGCCUUCCACAAGGAAACAAAAAAGAACAAAUCGGCUAAAUAUUAAACUUUGCACUUUUAAAAACCGUUGGUUUUUCUCAUCUCAAAAGUUAGCUAAAAAGCGAGGUGGCUAUUGCAUCCGUCUCCCGACGAAACAAAUCCCCUGCUGGCCUCAAUUAGUAAACAUCAGGAAGCAUGUAUCCCAUUAAUCCGGCGGAAGAAAGACUGAGCAUCGGCUGCCGACGAGGGUAAGUGGAAGAAGAGGAAUAAGGAGAGUAGUAGUAAUCACCAUCAUCAUCAUCGUGGAGGCGAACAGGCCAAGUCGGAGUAAGGAGAAUCUCUAGACACGAAGAAAGACAGAACAAGAAGGUUGUGAUGGGUAUCAUUUUUGCUCUUAAUUUGCUUUCUUCUUAUAUUGCACUAUAAAUAUACAAACAUUCAUUCAUUAUAAUUCAUUGUCUUUAUUUUCCUGCAGUUAAUUAUAGUUGUUUUAUCCACGCACGCACGCCACCCUCCUCGAUUGCUUCUUUCCCUCUGACCCAAGCAACC
rnacentral:lncRNA from 1 species